UAUGAGGAUAGAGGUUUAAGUUAAACAAACUAAUAGCCUUGAAAGCUAUAAUUGGUCCACAACCAAUCUC
rnacentral:tRNA from 1 species